rnacentral:lncRNA from 1 species
GAAGAACAGGUUGGAAUGCAGAGAAAGAAAGUGAAAAAGAAUAAGAGAAGGUGGAAAAAUUUGAAAACUUUAAGCAAUAUUUGGGGAAUUGUGAAUGCCUCCAGUUGUGGGGCUACAUUACAAUGCUUUCUUUCUUUCUUUUUUUUUUUUGGAGAUGGAGUCUCGCUCUGUUGCCCAGGCUGGAGUGCAGCGGCAUGAUCUCGGCUCACUGCAAGCUCUGCCUCCCAGGUUCACGCCAUUCUCCUGCCUCAGCCUCCCGAGUAGCUGGGAUUACAGGCACCCGCCACCACGCCCGGCUAAUUUUUUUGUAUUUUUAGUAGAGACGGGGUUUCACCGUGUUAGCCAGGAUGGUCUCGAUCUCCUGACCUCGUGAUCCGCCCGCCUCGGCCUCCCAAAGUGCUGGGAUUACAGGCUUGAGCCAC